rnacentral:rRNA from 1 species
UACGUAGGGUGCGAGCGUUAAUCGGAAUUACUGGGCGUAAAGCGUGCGUAGGCGGUUUUGUUAGCCAGAUGUGAAAUCCCCGGGCUUAACCUGGGAAUGGCAUUUGGGACUGCAAGGCUUGAGUUUGGCAGAGGAGACUGGAAUUCCUGGUGUAGCAGUGAAAUGCGUAGAUAUCAGGAGGAAUACCGAUGGCGAAGGCAGGUCUCUGGGCUAGAACUGACGCUCAUGCACGAAAGCGUGGGGAGCAAACAGG